AUCUUUGCGCUUGGGGCAAUGACGCAGCUAGUGAGGUUCUAACCGAGGCGCGUCUAUUGCUGGUUGAAAACUAUUUCCAAACCCCCUCUAUGGCCUUGGCUCUGCUUGGGCCGUAGAGAAUUUUUGCAAGGGCUCUCCUUCGCGGAGCAAGGCC
rnacentral:snRNA from 1 species